UACGGGGGGGGCAAGCGUUGUUCGGAAUUACUGGGCGUAAAGGGCUCGUAGGCGGCCAACUCAGUCGGACGUGAAAUCCCUCGGCUUAACCGGGGAAUGGCGUCCGAUACUGGAUGGCUUGAGUUUGGGAGAGGGAUGCGGAAUUCCAGGUGUAGCGGUGAAAUGCGUAGAUAUCUGGAGGAACACCGGUGGCGAAGGCGGCAUCCUGGACCAACACUGACGCCGAGGAGCGAAAGCCAGGGGAGCAAACGGG
rnacentral:rRNA from 1 species